CCAAUAGCGUAUAUUAAAGUUGUUGCAGUUAAAAAGCUCGUAGUUGAAUUUCGGGAUCAAUUUACUGGUCGUGCUAUUGUACGUACUGGUUUUAUUGGUUUCUACCUUCUGACGAACCAUGAUGUCAUUAAUUUGGUGUUAUGGGGAAUCAGGACUGUUACUUUGAAAAAAUUAGAGUGUUUAAAGCAGGCUCACGCUUGAAUACAUUAGCAUGGAAUAACGAAAUAGGACGUUUGAUUCUAUUUUGUUGGUUUCUAGGAUCGACGUAAUGAUUAAUAGGGAUAGUUGGGGGCAUUAGUAUUCAAUUGUCAGAGGUGAAAUUCUUGGAUUUAUUGAAGACUAACUACUGCGAAAGCAUUUGCCAAGGAUGUUUUCAUUAAUCAAGAACGAAAGUUAGGGGAUCGAAGACGAUCAGAUACCGUCGUAGUCUUAACCAUAAACUAUGCCGACUAGGGAUCGGAUGAUGUUAAUUUUUUAAUGACUCA
rnacentral:rRNA from 1 species